CUCGUGAUCCCUUUCUUGCUCCCUCUCCCUCGCAGCCGCCCUCCCGGCAAUCACGGAAGCGCCCCUGCCACUGCCGUCCUCCACUGCACGAGCGUCGCCGCCCUGGCCUCCUCUGCUGUGUGCGGGAACUCGCCGCGCCCGAUUUGCCACCACCACAAGCGAAAGAGGGAUCAAGAAGCGAGAUCCAUAUUGAACCAAUCUCGCCGAACCUUUCCCGGUGGAGAUGCAGCAGAAGAGACGGAACAAGAUCGUGCUAACUGUGUUGCUGCUGACGGGGGCGGCGGUGCUGAUCGUGGGCACGCUAGAGCUGUUGAUACCGACGACCUUGACGUAUUGACGUGGCUGUGAAGCUCAAGGAAUCACAGGAGAAGAUGCGCAACAGAUCAUCUCCGACUUCUUUAAGGUCUACCAGUUCGAGAAGCUCUUCGCCAAGCGCAGCUACCCCGUCGGAUGGACCUCUACGCAUUCCUUGGCCACGUUGGUGCCAAGGCAUCAUGUGAUUGAUAGUCCAUUUACUCAUCUUCUCCGAUGGUCCAGAUGAUGAAUUGUUGGGGCCACUGUGCUUCGCGUAAUUUGAUAUCCUGCAAGGGCUGUUGAAAAGCAGGUGAGGGGCACUUUGGUUAGUUGUGAACGAUGAACAAUUUUCAGGGAAGAAAAGUGAGUUCAAUACUUCAAAUGCUAAAUUUAGGCGUACCGCGUACGUCAUGUGCUCGAUGGACUGGAGUGCCCAUGAUAAGUCGAGUGAGGAUGAGGAGCAGAGUCGGCGAGAGCUCCAGGGGCCACAGCUGAGGUGGACAGGACGAGUGUCGCAGGAGGCAGCGAUGAGGUCGUGCAGAUGAGGAUGAGAGAUUCAGAGGAUCGAGAAGGAUUGAAAGAGCUGGUAGAUGGAGGUGGAAGAGAUAGGGAUGUGAGGGAAUUGAGAGAGUUGAGAGCAGGGAAUAUUAUUUCUCCUAUUUUCACUUGCUAAUAGGGUUGCAGAUUUGCUGCAGAAAAAAGAACUGUAGGCAUCUGUUAGUCAUAUAAUCAACAACCAGCGGCCAGUCUGAGAGCAAUGCAAAACUGGUUGAUGCCUCGAUGUUGGCCUUGCGUUUAUGUGAUAGGUCAAGACAGCUGACAUGGCCUGCAGUU